GUAUAGGUGUGUAUAGUGUAUAGGUGUGGACAGAGUAUAGGUGUGGACAGAGUAUAGGUGUGUAUAGUGUAUAGGUGUGGACAGAGUAUAGGUGUGUAUAGUGUAUAGGUGUGUAUAGUGUAUAGGUGUGGACAGAGUAUAGGUGUGGACAGAGUAUAGGUGUGUAUAGUGUAUAGGUGUGGACAGAGUAUAGGUGUGUAUAGUGUAUAGGUGUGUAUAGUGUAUAGGUGUGGACAGAGUAUAGGUGUGGACAGAGUAUAGGUGUGUAUAGUGUAUAGGUGUGGACCGAGUAUAGGUGUGUAUAGUGUAUAGGUGUGUAUAGUGUAUAGGUGUGGACAGAGUAUAGGUGUGUAUAGUGUAUAGGUGUGGACAGAGUAUAGGUGUGGACAGAGUAUAGGUGUGUAUAGUGUAUAGGUGUGGACAGAGUAUAGGUGUGGACAGAGUAUAGGUGUGUAUAGUGUAUAGGUGUGGACAGAGUAUAGGUGUGGACAGAGUAUAGGUGUGUAUAGUGUAUAGGUGUGGACAGAGUAUAGGUGUGUAUAGUGUAUAGGUGUGUAUAGUGUAUAGGUGUGGACAGAGUAUAGGUGUGGACAGAGUAUAGGUGUGUAUAGUGUAUAGGUGUGGACCGAGUAUAGGUGUGUAUAGUGUAUAGGUGUGUAUAGUGUAUAGGUGUGGACAGAGUAUAGGUGUGUAUAGUGUAUAGGUGUGGACAGAGUAUAGGUGUGUAUAGUGUAUAGGUGUGUAUAGUGUAUAGGUGUGGACAGAGUAUAGGUGUGGACAGAGUAUAGGUGUGUAUAGUGUAUAGGUGUGGACAGAGUAUAGGUGUGUAUAGUGUAUAGGUGUGUAUAGUGUAUAGGUGUGGACAGAGUAUAGGUGUGGACAGAGUAUAGGUGUGUAUAGUGUAUAGGUGUGGACCGAGUAUAGGUGUGUAUAGUGUAUAGGUGUGUAUAGUGUAUAGGUGUGGACAGAGUAUAGGUGUGUAUAGUGUAUAGGUGUGGACAGAGUAUAGGUGUGUAUAGUGUAUAGGUGUGUAUAGUGUAUAGGUGUGGACAGAGUAUAGGUGUGUAUAGUGUAUAGGUGUGUAUAGUGUAUAGGUGUGGACAGAGUAUAGGUGUGGACAGAGUAUAGGUGUGUAUAGUGUAUAGGUGUGGACCGAGUAUAGGUGUGUAUAGUGUAUAGGUGUGUAUAGUGUAUAGGUGUGUAUAGUGUAUAGGUGUGGACAGAGUAUAGGUGUGUAUAGUGUAUAGGUGUGUAUAGUGUAUAGGUGUGGACAGAGUAUAGGUGUGUAUAGUGUAUAGGUGUGUAUAGUGUAUAGGUGUGGACAGAGUAUAGGUGUGUAUAGUGUAUAGGUGUGGACAGAGUAUAGGUGUGUAUAGUGUAUAGGUGUGGACAGAGUAUAGGUGUGUAUAGUGUAUAGGUGUGGACAGAG